rnacentral:tRNA from 1 species
UAGCUCAGACGGUAAAGCGUCUGCCUGCAAUGCAGGAGACCUGGGUUCGAUCCCGG